rnacentral:lncRNA from 1 species
CUUGAAUUUGUUUGGCUUUGCAACUGAAGUACAGUUUGACAGGUCAUGACUCAGCAUAUCUGUUUACCAGGAGCUGGUUUCAAUGUCCAUAAGAAAGAGGGGCCAUGUGUUUAGUAGUUAUUACACAAGAGCAGGGUGUGCGAAGGGGAGAGACAAUGUUGAUUCCUACAUACCAGGCCAGGCCAGUGGGACCUGAUGCAGAUCUACAGGGUGUCUGUGCUGCUGAGUGUCCAGAGCUGACCUGAAGGAGGGGGAAUGGAUGGGACUGGAGAUCUCGGAGUUCGGGAGGCAGCUAGACAGAGAAAGACAAGUGUCAUGGAAUUUCUCUCAUGUGGCACCUUGAGUUUGCAGAAGGAUAUGAAGCAGAGAGGUGACUACAUGGGAAGAUGAAGACUAAUCCGGAAGUGAGAACCAGUGAGGUUGAUCUGCAGUGCAAGCCUUUCUACCUGUGACCGACUUGGUUUUCACAUUGACAUCCACGACUGGAUUUACUCAUAUUGCUGUGUACCUGGGGGACACUCCCGGCUCAAACUCUUACCUUCUGGUGGAUCGGAGCCCCUUAUUUCUCUCCUUUCUCUUUAUUAUUAUCAUUCAGAUUUAACUCUCUCCCUCAGCAAGAUAAUUAGUGUCACUCUAAAAAAAAUGAAGUCAUUUAAGAUGAGGAAGAGUUGGGUAAUUGUUCAAAAAUCAUAUGCAGGGAGGCCACAGACAGCAUCUUCAUUUUUUUCUGAACUAAUCCCACAAGCAAGACGGUAUGGAGGUACAGAGAAGCCAGACUCCAAAUUUUGGGCUAGCAGACUGGCAUCAAUCUUCCAUGAGGGCCUUUACAGUUUUUAAACUGUGAAGGAACGCUUGGGAGAAAUACACAUUUUAUUUCAAACUCUGUUUAUCCAGGCAAACACGGGACAUUAAAAAAAGAAAAAGAAAUCGGUUCUGUGCUCCCUGUUCUAUUUCGUUUUAGUGAACAAGUCUUGCUUUUCCGGUGUUACUUGUAACCUUUUAUUUAUCUGACUGGGUGCCGGUCAGCUUUGUUUCCAAUGAACACAAUUUCCUGCCGCGGAAAAGGAUGACAUCAAGAGGAAAAGCAAGCAGCCCCGUGGGCGAGGAGCCUUGAGAAAGAGAAGCCAAGAGGCCAGGG